AUGUGGUAUUUAACCCAAGGCUUGAUCUUCGUGGUGGACAGCAAUGACAGAGAGCGUGUGAAUGAGGCCCGUGAGGAGCUCAUGCGGAUGCUGGCUGAGGAUGAGCUCCGGGAUGCUGUCCUCCUGGUGUUUGCCAACAAGCAGGACCUUCCCAAUGCCAUGAACGCUGCUGAAAUCACAGACAAGCUGGGGCUGCACUCUCUACGCCACAGGAACUGGUACAUUCAGGCCACCUGUGCCACCAGUGGGGACGGGCUCUAUGAAGGACUGGACUGGCUGUCCAAUCAGCUCCGGAACCAGAAGUGAACCAGAACUCCCCCUCCCCCUCACUUCCUCCUCUCCGCCCUCCGCUUUCCUCUCAUGUGGCAAACGUGCGACUCUGUGGUCCUGAGUGCCAGAAGCUGUCUCCAUGGGUUGGUCACAGUGUGCAUCGCAUCAUGCUGUACAUGUGCAGACGCAGCCUGCAGCCAGGUUUUUAUUUAAUGUAAAUAGUUUCUGUUUCCACUGAGGCAGUUUCUGGUACUCCUAUGCAAUAUUACUCAGCUUUUUUUAUUGUAAAGAGAAUCAACUCACUGUCAGUACUGAGAAGGGAUUUGGGUGUUUGGGCACCUGGUCUCCAGGAGCCACUGAGCUAUAGAUCAGUGUCAGGAUCCAUUUGGUGGCUGGUUUUUAACCCAAACUCAGUGCAUUUUUUAAAAUAGUUAAAAAUACAAGAUAAGCAGAACACUUGAACACACAGAAGGGAGACUAUGCCUAGUGUAGGUUUUGCAGUAACCGCCUGAAUGCUAGUCCAUCAAAUCAGCUGUUCCCUUAUGGGAAUGGGAGAUACGGUGAUGAACAAACCAUUCGCUGCAUGGACACAGUAGAGCCCCUGUGACUCGCCUGUCUUUGGGUCACCUGCAUUCCAUAGCGUCGUGCUUGUACUCGUGCUCACGUGGUCACCUAGGGGCGGGUAGGGGCCAUCAUGGGGCUGCAGGGCACAGCCUCAUCCUUGGUGAGUGUGUGGCCAAGCGGCAGCCUGUGUUCCUAGCUCGCUCUUGCGCUUACUCUAAGCGCUGGCAGGAGGCCUGGGUCUCACCAGCAGAAGCGUGUGCAAGCUGGGAGGGUCAGUCCAUUCCAGACCCAAAGCCCUGGAGCACCCCCAUCUCCAUGUGUGAAAUAGCUUCCUCCCUCAGCCUGCAAGGGUCCGAUUUGCCAUCGAAAACGACGACCUCUACUUUUUUCUUUUGUAUUUUGAUAAACACUGAAGAAGUUGGAGCUGUUAAAUUUAUCUUGGGGAAACCUCAGAACUGGUUUAUUUGGUGUCGUGGAACCUCUUACUGCUUUCAAUACACGAUUAGUAAUCAACUGUUUUGUAUACUUGUUUUCAGUUUUCAUUUCAACAAGCACUGUAAUUAUAGCUAUUAGAAUAAAGU